UCAUCUCUGAGAUAUGUUUGAUAUUCUUGGUUGUUUUAUUUAAUUUCAACCAAAUAUCGAACAUAUUUCAAGGCUGAAA
rnacentral:pre_miRNA from 16 species